rnacentral:lncRNA from 1 species
UUAGCAGUUCGGGAAGUGUGUGGGUGAAAAACGAGAAAAUCUAGGACAAGGAAGCGAGCAGUUGAACAUUGCCUAAGAAGUCUUCUGGAUCAACGACAAAGUCCAUUUGAAGUUGGCACUAUCAGAAGGUCCAAAAUCGAAUCCAAAACACGUGAAACUUUUAUCUUUUGUCUUACAUGAGCCAAAAGUGAUGUGUGGAUUUAGGAUUAUACUUGGAGAAGAUCAUGAUUUGGUCUCAAAUCAAGUUUAUCAAUCAACC